AUUGAACGCUGGCGGCAUGCCUUACACAUGCAAGUCGAACGGUAACAGGUCUUCGGAUGCUGACGAGUGGCGAACGGGUGAGUAAUACAUCGGAACGUGCCCGAUCGUGGGGGAUAACGGAGCGAAAGCUUUGCUAAUACCGCAUACGAUCUACGGAUGAAAGCAGGGGACCGCAAGGCCUUGCGCGGACGGAGCGGCCGAUGGCCGAUUAGGUAGUUGGUGGGAUAAAAGCUUACCAAGCCGACGAUCUGUAGCUGGUCUGAGAGGACGACCAGCCACACUGGGACUGAGACACGGCCCAGACUCCUACGGGAGGCAGCAGUGGGGAAUUUUGGACAAUGGGCGCAAGCCUGAUCCAGCCAUGCCGCGUGCAGGAUGAAGGCCUUCGGGUUGUAAACUGCUUUUGUACGGAACGAAAAGACUCUUUCUAAUAAAGAGGGUCCAUGACGGUACCGUAAGAAUAAGCACCGGCUAACUACGUGCCAGCCGCCGCAGUAAUAC
rnacentral:rRNA from 1 species